GACGAACGCUGGCGGCGUGCUUAACACAUGCAAGUCGAACGGAAAGGCCCUGCUUUUGUGGGGUGCUCGAGUGGCGAACGGGUGAGUAACACGUGAGUAACCUGCCCUUGCCUUUGGGAUAACUUCAGGAAACUGGGGCUAAUACCGGAUAGGCGCUCCUGCUGCAUGUUUGGGGUUGGAAAGUUUCGGCGGUUGGGGAUGGACUCGCGGCUUAUCAGCUUGUUGGUGGGGUAGUGGCUUACCAAGGCUUUGACGGGUAGCCGGCCUGAGAGGGAGACCGGCCACAUUGGGACUGAGGUAGGAGCCAGACUCCUACGGGGGGCAGCAGUGAGAAAUAGUGCACAAUGGGCGGAAGCCUGAUGCAGCAACGCCGGGUGCGGGAUGACGGCCUUCGGGUUGUAAACCGCGUUCGCCUGUAACGAAGCGUGAGUGACGGUAAUGGGUAAAGAAGCACCGGCUAACUACGUG
rnacentral:rRNA from 1 species